GAACGCUGGCGGCGUGCCUAACACAUGCAAGUCGAGCGGAAAGGCUCCUUCGGGAGUACUCGAGCGGCGAACGGGUGAGUAACACGUGGGUAAUCUGCCCAGGACACAGGAAUAACCAGUGGAAACGCUGGCUAAUGCCUGAUGACGUGCAGACCUCUUGGGGUUCUGUACCAAAGGUAGCUUCGGCCUCCGGUCCUGGAUGAGCCCGCGGCCCAUUAGCUAGUUGGCGGGGUAACGGCCCACCAAGGCGACGAUGGGUAGCUGGUCUGAGAGGACGAUCAGCCACACUGGGACUGAGACACGGCCCAGACUCCUACGGGAGGCAGCAGUGGGGAAUCUUGCGCAAUGGGCGAAAGCCUGACGCAGCAACGCCGCGUGCGGGAAGAAGGCCUUCGGGUUGUAAACCGCUUUCAGCGGGGAAGAAGGCGAGCGGGUUAAUAGCCCGUCAGCUGACGGUACCCGCAGAAGA
rnacentral:rRNA from 1 species